rnacentral:rRNA from 1 species
AUGAGUCAUGGUAGUAGGCUGCUACGGCAAAAAACUGGUAAGCCCCCUAAGGGAAGAAAUUUGAAGAAAGUCUCAUCCUGCUUACCAUGUUUCAUCUUAAAAUUUUGGCUUGAUUUUUUUUUUCUGUGUAACCUAUAUCUCUGCAUGGUUACUUUCUCUAGACAUGCUUUAGCUGCAGCAUUGGUCAAGUGGCUUGAACACAACUCACAUGAGUCAUUGCCAAAUGGCCCUUUUCUGAAAUUCAUUCUCUUAUGCACUGAGAGAGGAGUUACACCAAUACAGUAUGUAUACAUACAGAUGCAGGCAAUGGAGAAACUCAUGCAGAUGAUGACUGAAGAAUUUUUCAUGAAUUUUCCAACCUGA